AUUGAACGCUGGCGGCAGGCCUAACACAUGCAAGUCGAACGGUAACAGGAAGCAGCUUGCUGCUUUGCUGACGAGUGGCGGACGGGUGAGUAAUGUCUGGGAAACUGCCUGAUGGAGGGGGAUAACUACUGGAAACGGUAGCUAAUACCGCAUAACGUCGCAAGACCAAAGAGGGGGACCUUCGGGCCUCUUGCCAUCGGAUGUGCCCAGAUGGGAUUAGCUAGUAGGUGGGGUAACGGCUCACCUAGGCGACGAUCCCUAGCUGGUCUGAGAGGAUGACCAGCCAACCUGGAACUGAGACACGGUCCAGACUCCUACGGGAGGCAGCAGUGGGGAAUAUUGCACAAUGGGCGCAAGCCUGAUGCAGCCAUGCCGCGUGUAUGAAGAAGGCCUUCGGGUUGUAAAGUACUUUCAGCGGGGAGGAAGGGAGUAAAGUUAAUACCUUUGCUCAUUGACGUUACCCGCAGAAGAAGCACCGGCGAACUCCGU
rnacentral:rRNA from 1 species